AUGGAGAAGAGCAAGGUUCUUGUUGUUGGAGGCACCUGUUACUUCGGCAGGAGGAUAGUGAAGGCCAACCUGGCCCAGGGCCACGAGACCUACGUGCUGUUGAGGCUGGAGAUCGGACUCGACAUCGACAAACUCCAGAUGCUGCUGUCGUUCAAGGCGCAGGGAGCACGGCUCGUCGAGGCGUCGCUCAACGACCACCGGAGCCUCGUCGCCGUCGUGAAGCAGGUGGACGUGGUGGUGUCGGCCAUGUCCGGCCACAACCUCCAACUGCAGCUCAAGCUGGUGGAGGCCAUCAAAGGGGCCGGAAAUGUUAUGCGCUUUCUACCAUCUGAGUUCGGCAUGGACCCAGCAAGGAUGGGGCAUGCUCUUGAACCAGGAAGGGUCACAUUUGAUGAGAAGAUGGAGAUAAGAAAGGCGAUAGAAGAAGCAAACAUUGGCCACACAUAUAUUUCUGCAUACUGCAUUGCUGCUUACUUUGUUCCUAACCUCUGCCAAAUGCGUACUCUUCUUCCACCCAAGGAGAAAGUUAAUGUAUAUGGAGAUGGCAACGUCAAAGCAAUAUUUAUGGAUGAAGAUGACAUUGCAACGUAUACAAUCAAGUCCAUUGAUGAUCCCCGGGCCUUAAACAAGACAAUAUACCCACUAGUAGAAAAUGAGCCAUUUGUCCCGGUUUCAGAGGGACUUUAG
rnacentral:rRNA from 1 species